rnacentral:lncRNA from 1 species
CCCUGGGCAAGUCCUAUAACUUAUCUAAGACUCAAUAAUUUCCUCAUCUAUAAAAUGGGCAUAACAGCACUCACACCACAGGGCUGUUGUGGAGAUCAUAUUUGAUAUUUAAAAUAAAGCACUUUACAGGCCUUAAAACAUUAAAGCAUUGUGGGCUAUCCUUAUCAUCAUCAUUAAGAGGUAGCGCGGGUUCAAAUCCCAUCUAUGAAUUCUCUAGGUAACUUUAAGUCUAUAAACUGCAGAGAAAGCACCAACGUGUUUUGGUUGAGAGAGUUUUCUUUAUGAAUAAAAUCACAGGUCCAUUCUCUAUCCCUGUUAUUAGGUUACGUCCCUCAGUUUCCCCAUCUGUGAAAUGGGAAUACUUCUAUAUCUCCAUGUAUAAGCAUCUGGUUGGAAGCUCAGCAAAAGCAGAGCCAUUCCUGUUCCUGUUCCUGGAGCAAGAUGCCAGCUCCCCCAGAAAAAACAGAUGAGAGUGAAGGCAACAGACGGCAUUCGAUUCAAGGAGCCCCAGAAAAAGCCACUCCUUGGUGGCUGGAAUGAGAAGAAUUGGAUGGAUGAAAGAGGCAGAGAUUUAGAGCUACACGGAGCACCCUCCCUCACCCCACAAUCAUUUAAUAGGAUCUUAGACUGAAAACUAAGAGGGGCCUUAGAGGCCACUGAGUCCAACCCCCAUGUUAUAGAGGAGGAAGCUAAGCCUGAAAGAGUUCACAUGACUUGCCCAGGGUCACACAGAGUAAAUGAAGCGAGAUUUGACCUGAGGUCUUCUGUCUCCAGGCCCCACUCUACUUACCUACUGCAAAACAUAGCUACCUAAUGGUGAGGCAAUUGAGACACCGUAUGGUUAAAUGACUUGUCCAAAGUCAUACAUGCUGUAAAUAGAAGAGCCUGGAUUCAAACCCAGUUCUUAUGACUUCAGACUUGGACUACUGCAAUACUGUUCUGGCCCAUCUUACUGCCUCUGGGCUUGGCUGCACGCAACGUCAGCGUCAUUUCCUCUGCACAUAUCUGGUCAUGUCCUUUCUCUGCCAAACUCCUCUAGUGAUCAAUGCCUCUUUUUGGCAAUAAAAAGCUCAAACCUUUUCUCA